rnacentral:rRNA from 1 species
CCUACGGGGGGCAGCAGUGGGGAAUAUUGCACAAUGGGGGAAACCCUGAUGCAGCAACGCCGCGUGAGCGAUGAAGGCCUUCGGGUCGUAAAGCUCUGUCCUAAGGGAAGAAUACUGACGGUACCUUAGGAGGAAGCCCCGGCUAACUACGUGCCAGAAGCCGCGGUAAUACGUAGGGGGCUAGCGUUAUCCGGAAUUACUGGGCGUAAAGGAUGCGUAGGCGGAACUUCAAGUCAGAGGUGAAAGGCUACGGCGCAACCGGAAUCAGGCUUUGAAACUGUAGGUCUUGAGUGCAGGAGAUGAGUGUUGAAUUCCCAGUGUAACGGUGAAAGGCGUAGAUAUUAGGAAGAAAGACAGGUGGGAAGGCGGCUCACUGGAAUGUAACUGACGCUGAGGCACGAAAGCGUGGUGAGAGAACAGGAUUAGAGACCCGAGUAGUC